GUCUACGGCCAUACCACCCUGGACAAGCCCGAUCCCGUCUGAUCGUGGAAGCUAAGCAGGGUCGGGCCUGGAGAGUACUUGGAUGGGGGGGACCACCUAGGAAGACCAGGUGCUGUAGGCG
rnacentral:rRNA from 1 species